GUCUACAGCCAUACUACCCUGAACCCAACUGAUCUCAUCUGAUCUCAGAAGCUAAGCAGGGUUGGGCCUGGUUAGCACUUGGAUGGGAGAAGAACAUCUGACCCUUUUUGUAGCAA
ensembl:rRNA 5S_rRNA 5S ribosomal RNA